GGGUUGUGAGGUUAAGCGACUAAGCGUACACGGUGGAUGCCCUGGCAGUCAGAGGCGAUGAAGGGCGUGCUAAUCUGCGAUAAGCGCCGGUAAGGUGAUAUGAACCGUUAUAACCGGCGAUACCCGAAUGGGGAAACCCAGUGUGACUCGUCACACUAUCAUUAACUGAAUCCAUAGGUUAAUGAGGCGAACCGGGGGAACUGAAACAUCUAAGUACCCCGAGGAAAAGAAAUCAACCGAGAUUCCCCCAGUAGCGGCGAGCGAACGGGGAGGAGCCCAGAGCCUGAAUCAGCAUGUGUGUUAGUGGAAGCGUCUGGAAAGGCGCGCGAUACAGGGUGACAGCCCCGUACACAAAAGCGCAUGUGCUGUGAGCUCGAUGAGUAGGGCGGGACACGUGGUAUCCUGUCUGAAUAUGGGGGGACCAUCCUCCAAGGCUAAAUACUCCUGACUGACCGAUAGUGAACCAGUACCGUGAGGGAAAGGCGAAAAGAACCCCGGCGAGGGGAGUGAAAAAGAACCUGAAACCGUGUACGUACAAGCAGUGGGAGCACCCUUUGGGUGUGACUGCGUACCUUUUGUAUAAUGGGUCAGCGACUUAUAUUCUGUAGCAAGGUUAACCGAAUAGGGGAGCCGGAGGGAAACCGAGUCUUAACCGGGCGUUAAGUUGCAGGGUAUAGACCCGAAACCCGGUGAUCUAGCCAUGGGCAGGUUGAAGG
rnacentral:rRNA from 2 species